GGCUCGCUUCGGCGGGUCGAU
rnacentral:snRNA from 1 species